ACGGAAGGCAGCAGUGAGGAAUAUUGGUCAAUGGGCGGGAGCCUGAACCAGCCAAGUAGCGUGAGGGAUGACGGCCCUAUGGGUUGUAAACCUCUUUUGACAGGGAAUAAAGUGAGCCACGUGUGGUUUAUUGCAUGUACCUGUGGAAUAAGGAUCGGCUAACUCCGUGCCAGCAGCCGCGGUAAUACGGAGGAUCCGAGCGUUAUCCGGAUUUAUUGGGUUUAAAGGGAGCGUAGGCGGGAUGUCAAGUCAGCUGUGAAAUGUAGUCGCUCAACGUCUGCACUGCAGUUGAAACUGGUGUUCUUGAGUGCGUAAGAGGCAGGUGGAAUUCGUCGUGUAGCGGUGAAAUGCUUAGAUAUGACGAAGAACUCCGAUUGCGAAGGCAGCCUGCUGGGCCGCUACUGACGCUGAAGCUCGAAGGUGCGGGUAUCAAACAGGAUUAGAUACCCUGGUA
rnacentral:rRNA from 1 species